rnacentral:rRNA from 1 species
UGAGGAAUAUUGGUCAAUGGGCGAGAGCCUGAACCAGCCACGUCGCGUGAAGGAAGACUGACCUUACGGUUUGUAAACUUCUUUUGUAGAGGGGUAAUGGCAGAUACGUGUAUUUGCGUGAAAGUACUCUACGAAUAAGCAUCGGCUAACCCCGUGCCAGCAGCCGCGGUAAUACGGGGGAUGCGAGCGUUAUCCGGAAUUAUUGGGUUUAAAGGGUGCGCAGGUGGCUAAUCAGGUCAGUGGUGAAAAGCUAUGGCUCAACCAUGGUCUUGCCAUUGAAACCGUAUAGCUAGAGAGGAGACGAGGUAGGCGGAAUGUGUGGUGUAGCGGUGAAAUGCAUAGAUAUCACACAGAACUCCGAUUGCGAAGGCAGCUUACCAGGCUUUAUCUGACACUUAGGCACGACAGCGUGGGGAUCAAACAGG